UACGGAGGGUGCAAGCGUUAUCCGGAUUCACUGGGUUUAAAGGGUGCGUAGGAGGGCAGGUAAGUCAGUGGUGAAAUCCCCGAGCUUAACUUGGGAACUGCCGUUGAUACUAUCUGCCUUGAAUAUUGUGGAGGUGAGCGGAAUAUGUCAUGUAGCGGUGAAAUGCUUAGAUAUGACAUAGAACACCAAUUGCGAAGGCAGCUCGCUACACAUAUAUUGACUCUGAGGCACGAAAGCGUGGGGAUCAAACAGG
rnacentral:rRNA from 1 species